CAAGCCUGCAGAGGGGGACGGAUUUCUCUCUCCACACCCAGUGGCUCUCAGUCCCGGGUGAGGUCUUCCCUCUCCAGAGAUUAUGAGCCCAGGACUUCAUUACCACUCGAUGUGCCCAACAACAAAUGCUAAAGGGAAUAUUCUGGUUGAAAUGAAAAGAUGAGAGACUAUAGGUCAUACGAAGCUAUAAAUAUAUCCAAUAAAGAGAAAUAUAAAACA